GAAAGAAGAAAACUAGAGUUUCUCAAUAUUAUUAAUCAUAAUCUCCCUUUCUAUUGUAACAAAGCCUCCUUUAAAUAGAAUAAAAACUAACCCCAAAAUAAUAAAUAAAUAAAUAAAUAAAUAGACCCAAAUAAAAUAGGUCCACUAAAAUACUAAUAAAAAAAAUUGGCCACAUGGACUACUAUUAAUCAAGCCCAGUGAACAGUCUACUAUCU
rnacentral:lncRNA from 1 species